rnacentral:rRNA from 1 species
GUUGGUGUUGUCAUGCCAAUGGCACUGCCCGGUAGCUAAAUGCGGAAGAGAUAAGUGCUGAAAGCAUCUAAGCACGAAACUUGCCCCGAGAUGAGUUCUCCCUGACUCCUUGAGAGUCCUGAAGGAACGUUGAAGACGACGACGUUGAUAGGCCGGGUGUGUAAGCGCAGCGAUGCGUUGAGCUAACCGGUACUAAUGAACCGUGAGGCUUAACCUU